rnacentral:rRNA from 1 species
GAUGAACGCUGGCGGCGUGCUUAACACAUGCAAGUCGAACGGAAAGGCCAGUGCUUGCCCUGGACCUCGAGUGGCGAACGGGUGAGUAACACGUGGGUGAUCUGCCCUGUACUUCGGGAUAAGCUUGGGAAACUGGGUCUAAUACCGGAUAGGACAACUUUUUGGAUAUUGUUGUGGAAAGCUUUUGCGGUAUGGGAUGAGCUCGCGGCCUAUCAGCUUGUUGGUGGGGUGAUGGCCUACCAAGGCGUCGACGGGUAGCCGGCCUGAGAGGGUGUACGGCCACAGUGGGACUGAGAUACGGCCCAGACUCCUACGGGAGGCAGCAGUGGGGAAUAUUGCACAAUGGGCGCAAGCCUGAUGCAGCGACGCCGCGUGGGGGAUGAAGGCCUUCGGGUUGUAAACUCCUUUCGCUAGGGACGAAGCUUUUUUGUGACGGUACCUGGAGAAGAAGCACCGGCUAACUACGUG